rnacentral:rRNA from 1 species
GACGAACGCUGGCGGCGUGCUUAACACAUGCAAGUCGAACGGGCCCGCUCUCUUUUUUGGGGGUGGGUUGAGUGGCGAACGGGUGAGUAUCACGUGAGUAACCUGCCCCCUGCUCCUGGAUAACUGCUUGAAAGGGCGGCUAAUACGGGGUGUGCCGGCUGGUCCGCAUGGGCCUGGUCGGGAUAGUUUCAUCUUCGGGUGUUUCGGUGGGGGAUGGGCUCGCGGCCUAUCAGCUUGUUGGUGGGGUGAUUGCCCACCAAGGCGGUGACGGGUAGCCGGCCUGAGAGGGUGGGCGGCCACACUGGGACUGAGACACGGCCCAGCCUCCUGCGGGAGGCAGCAGUGGGGGGUAUUGCACAAUGGGCGGAAGCCUGAUGCAGCGACGUCGCGUGAGGGAUGGAGGCCUUCGGGUUGUGAACCUCUUUCUCCGGUGGUGAAGGCCCUGUCCGUUGCGGCGGGGUUGACGGUAGCCGGGUAUGAAGCGCCGGCUAACUACGUG